AUUGAGCGCUGGCGGCAGGCUUAACACAUGCAAGUCGAGCGGGGUGAUGGUGCUUGCACUAUCACUUAGCGGCGGACGGGUGAGUAAUGCUUAGGAAUCUGCCUAUUAGUGGGGGACAACAUCUCGAAAGGGAUGCUAAUACCGCAUACGUCCUACGGGAGAAAGCAGGGGAUCACUUGUGACCUUGCGCUAAUAGAUGAGGCUAAGUCGGAUUAGCUAGUUGGUGGGGUAAAGGGCUACCAAGGCGACGAUCUGGAGCGGGACGGAGAGGAUGCGCCGGCACACUGGGACUGAGAAACGGCCCAGACUCCUACGGGAGGCAGCAGUGGGGAAUAUUGGAAAAUGGGGUGAACCCUGAUCCAGCCAUGCCGCGUGUGUGAAGAAGGCCUUAUGGUUGUAAAGCACUUUAAGCGAGGAGGAGGCUACUUUAGUUAAUACCUAGAGAUAGUGGACGUUACUCGCAGAAUAAGCACCGGCUAACUCUGUGCCAGCCGCCGCGGUAA
rnacentral:rRNA from 1 species